UACGUAGGGGGCAAGCGUUGUCCGGAAUUAUUGGGCGUAAAGAGCGCGUAGGCGGUCCGAUAAGUCGGCUGUGAAAGUCCAGGGCUCAACCCUGGAAAGCCGGCCGAUACUGUCGGACUAGAGUCCGGAAGAGGCAAGUGGAAUUCCCGGUGUAGCGGUGAAAUGCGCAGAUAUCAGGAAGAACACCCGUGGCGAAGGCGGCUCUCUGGGACGGUACUGACGCUGAGGCGCGAAAGCGUGGGGAGCGAACAGG
rnacentral:rRNA from 1 species